UGAAGGGCCGCGGUAUUUUGACCGUGCAAAGGUAGCAUAAUCAUUAGUCUUCUAAUUAAAGGCUGGAAUGAAUGGUUGGACGAGGUACUAGCUGUCUCACUAAAAUAUAUUUGAAUUUAGCUUUUCAGUUAAAAGGCUGGAAUGAAGUUGGAGGACGAGAAGACCCUAUAGAGCUUUACAUUCGACUUUUUUAAUUUGUUUGGGAAACUUUUAAUUUUAAAGGAAAAAUGUUUCGUUGGGGUGACGGGAAGAUACAAUUAACUCUUUUUAAUUGUUGACAUUGAUGUAUGAAUAAUUGAUCCAUAAGUAAUGAUUAAAAGACUAAGUUACCUUAGGGAUAACAGCGUAAUCUUUUUUGAGAGUUCUAAUCGACAAGAAGGGUUGCGACCUCGAUGUUGGACUAAAGGUUAUUUUUAGGUGUAGCAGCUUAAAGUUUAGGUCUGUUCGACCUUUGAAUCUUUACAU
rnacentral:rRNA from 1 species